GUGACAAAUAUUACUCUAAAACUGUUGAAGGAUGAUUCACCAUCUCCAGAGACAACAGUAAAAUGCAGGUGUAUCUGCACAUGACAACUGUGUAUAUUUUGCAGGAUCUGGAUUUGAAUAAAAAUUUGGAUUACUUAAAAUAUAUAAACUUAAUUGGUUACAGAGGUUAAUAAGGGCACAGAAAAUGUAAAUGUACCUUUAGAGGGCAGUCUAUGCAAACCUACUUCUCCUAGUUCCCUUUAAAAAAAGCCUCAAUCUGUUUAUCUCCAUACAUCCGUUUUGACUGUUGCAGCAGGUUCCUCCUUUCAUAACAUGAACAUGAAUAUUUGGCAUUUCAUCUGUAUGGUGAUUGUAUCUCAUCAAGGUAUCAGUGGUGAUGAAAUCCGAUUAGAUCAGUCUCCUGCUGUGAUGAAGAGACCUGGAGAAACAGUGAAGAUCUCCUGUAAAAUAUCUGGUUUUACGAUGACGAGCUACUACAUGCACUGGAUCAGACAGAAGCCAGGGAAAGCUCUGGAGUGGAUUGGGAGAGUUGACUCUGGCUCUGGUAGUGUUGAUUAUGCAGAUACAAUGGAAAACCACUUCACACUGAGUGAGGACGUGUCUCAAAGUACACAGUAUCUUGAAGCCAAGAGUCUGAGAGAAGAGGACACUGCUGUUUAUUACUGUGCUCGAGAGUCACAGUGACUCCAUCUGUUGAAGCAGCUUUACAAUAACUGAGGACUAAUGAGAAAAGACCAGCUAUUGGACUAUGAAUCAUAUUGCUCUCAUUAUCAUGAUUAUGAAGUA